AACGAACGCUGGCGGCAGGCCUAACACAUGCAAGUCGAGCGCACCUUCGGGUGAGCGGCGGACGGGUUAGUAACGCGUGGGAAUAUGCCCUUCACUACGGAAUAGCCUUUGGAAACGAAGAGUAAUACCGUAUACGCCCUUCGGGGGAAAGAUUUAUCGGUGAAGGAUUAGCCCGCGUCUGAUUAGAUAGUUGGUGGGGUAACGGCCUACCAAGUCGACGAUCAGUAGCUGGUUUGAGAGGAUGAUCAGCAACACUGGGACUGAGACACGGCCCAGACUCCUACGGGAGGCAGCAGUGGGGAAUCUUAGACAAUGGGCGAAAGCCUGAUCUAGCCAUGCCGCGUGAGUGACGAAGGCCCUAGGGUCGUAAAGCUCUUUCGCCAGGGAUGAUAAUGACAGUACCUGGUAAAGAAACCCCGGCUAACUCCGUGCCAGCCGCCGCCGUAACAC
rnacentral:rRNA from 1 species